CGCGUAGGUGGUUUGAUAAGGGUGUGGUGAAAGUCCGGGGCUCAACCCCGGAUCUGCCGUGCCGACUGUCAAACUCGAGGACUGUAGAGGCAGACGGAAUUCCGGGUGUAGCGGUGGAAUGCGUAGAUAUCGGGAGGAACACCAGUGGCGAAGGCGACUACCUGGCCCAUUCUUGACGCUGAGGCGCGAAAGCUAGGGGAGCGAAG
rnacentral:rRNA from 1 species